GAAUUUCGAGCUGAGGCUCUGGGUCCACCUCCCACCCGUGUCUGUCGUACCUUGUUGCUUCGGCGGGCCCGCCGUUUCGACGGCCGCCGGGGAGGCCUUGCGCCCCCGGGCCCGCGCCCGCCGAAGACCCCAACAUGAACGCUGUUCUGAAAGUAUGCAGUCUGAGUUGAUUAUCGUAAUCAGUUAAAACUUUCAACAACGGAUCUCUUGGUUCCGGCAUCGAUGAAGAACGCAGCGAAAUGCGAUAAGUAAUGUGAAUUGCAGAAUUCAGUGAAUCAUCGAGUCUUUGAACGCACAUUGCGCCCCCUGGUAUUCCGGGGGGCAUGCCUGUCCGAGCGUCAUUGCUGCCCUCAAGCACGGCUUGUGUGUUGGGCCCCCGUCCCCCUCUCCCGGGGGACGGGCCCGAAAGGCAGCGGCGGCACCGCGUCCGGUCCUCGAGCGUAUGGGGCUUUGUCACCUGCUCUGUAGGCCCGGCCGGCGCCAGCCGACACCCAACUUUAUUUUUCUAAGGUUGACCUCGGAUCAGGUAGGGAUACCCGCUGAACUUAAGCAUAUCAUAAAGCCCGGAAGGAAA
rnacentral:rRNA from 1 species